UACGGAGGGAGCUAGCGUUGUUCGGAAUUACUGGGCGUAAAGCGCACGUAGGCGGCUUUGUAAGUUAGAGGUGAAAGCCUGGAGCUCAACUCCAGAAUUGCCUUUAAGACUGCAUCGCUUGAAUCCAGGAGAGGUGAGUGGAAUUCCGAGUGUAGAGGUGAAAUUCGUAGAUAUCGGGAGGAACACCAGUGGCGAAGGCGGCGAUCUGGGAAGAUACUGACGCUGAGGUGCGAAAGCGUGGGGAGCAAACAGG
rnacentral:rRNA from 1 species